rnacentral:rRNA from 1 species
UACAGAGGGUGCGAGCGUUAUCCGGAAUUACUGGGCGUAAAGCGCGCGUAGGCGGCUUUGCAAGUCGGGCGUGAAAUUUCGGAGCUUAACUCCGAAACUGCAUUUGAUACUGGCGUGCUUGAGGACUGGAGAGGAGACUGGAAUUCACGGUGUAGCAGUGAAAUGCGUAGAGAUCGUGAGGAAGACCAGUGGCGAAGGCGGGUCUCUGGACAGUUCCUGACACUGAGGCACGAAGGCCAGGGGAGCAAACGGG